UCUCCGUUGGUGAACCAGCGGAGGGAUCAUUACAGGAUCGAAAGACUCCUAUAACCCCUGUGAACUUACUACAAAUACGUUGCUUCGGCGGGUGCCCCGGGUCUCCCGGGGCGUUCAGCCCGCCGGCAGCCUUCAAAUUCUGUUUCUUUGCGUUGGCAUCUCGAGUAUACAAAAAUAAGUUAAAACUUUCAACAACGGAUCUCUUGGUUCUGGCAUCGAUGAGGAAC
rnacentral:misc_RNA from 1 species